UACUGAAUGCUUCUGUUGUUGCAGGAGUGCCGGAUUGCACAUCCCAUUGUUAAAUGCACUUACUGCAGGACUGAAUUCCAGCAGGAAAGCAAAACCAACACAAUAUGCAAAAAGUGUGCUCAGAACGUGAAGCUCUAUGGAACACCAAAACCCUGCCAGUACUGCAACAUUAUAGCAGCAUUUAUUGGAAACAAGUGCCAGCGUUGCACAAACUCUGAAAAGAAGUAUGGACC